rnacentral:ncRNA from 1 species
CUUGCGGACUGUUACACAAACCAGAGUAGCUGUGGCGAAAUGGGACAGGAUGAAACAAGAA